GUCCACGCCGUAAACGAUGGAUACUAGCUGUUGGGAGCAAUCUCAGUGGCUAAGCGAAAGUGAUAAGUAUCCCACCUGGGGAGUACGUUCGCAAGAAUUAAACUCAAAGGAAUUGACGGGGGGCCCCGCACAAGCGGUGGAGCAUGUGGUUUAAUUCGAUGAUACGCGAGGAACCUUACCAAGGCUUAAAUGUAGAUUGACAGGUUUGGAAACAGACUUUUCUUCGGACAAUUUACAAGGUGCUGCAUGGUUGUCGU
rnacentral:rRNA from 1 species